AUUGAACGCUGGCGGCAGGCCUAACACAUGCAAGUCGAACGGUAACAGGAAGAAGCUUGCUUCUUUGCUGACGAGUGGCGGACGGGUCAGUAAUGUCUGGGAAACUGCCUGAUGGAGGGGGAUAACUACUGGAAACGGUAGCUAAUACCGCAUAACGUCGCAAGACCAAAGAGGGGGACCUUCGGGCCUCUUGCCAUCGGAUGUGCCCAGAUGGGAUUAGCUAGUAGGUGGGGUAACGGCUCACCUAGGCGACGAUCCCUAGCUGGUCUGAGAGGAUGACCGGCCACACUGGAACUGAGACACGGUCCAGACUCCUGCGGGAGGCAGCAGUGGGGAAUAUUGCACAGUGGGCGCAAGCCUGAUGCAGCCAUGCCGCGUGUAUGAAGAAGGCCUUCGGGUUGUAAAGUACUUUCAGCGGGGAGGAAGGGAGUAAAGUUAAUACCUUGACUCAUUGACGUUACCCGCAGAAGAAGCACCGGCUAACUCCGUG
rnacentral:rRNA from 1 species